rnacentral:rRNA from 1 species
CUCAACUGAGGGAUGUACGUCGAAACUGAUAGGCUCGAGGAACGUAGAGGAAGGCGGAACUCUCGGAGUAGCGGUGAAAUGCGUAGAGACCGAGAGGUACCCCGAUGGUGAAGACAGCCUUCUGGGCGUUUCCUGACGCUGAAGCGCUAAGGCCAGGGGAGCGAAGGGGAUUAGAUACCCCCGUAGUCCUGGCUUCAAACGAUGUGGGCUUGGUGUCGGCUCCCGACAGAGAGUCGUUGCCGGAGUUAACGCGUUAAGCCCACCGCCUGGGGAUUACGUCCGCAAGGAUGAAACUCAAGGGAAUUGACGGGGGCCCACACAACCGGUGGAGCACGUGGUUUAAUUCGAUGAUAAGCGAAGAACCUUACCAGGGCUUGACCUAGCGGUAGUAGGACCCUGAAAGGGGAACGACCUCAAGCUUUGCUUGAGGGGCC